rnacentral:lncRNA from 1 species
GUCUAUCUACAGGAACAAGGGCUUCCCCUCUUGCUGCUGUACUUUAGGGAUGUACUGUAGAGUUGGACCCAAUCUGCCAGGCUCCGGGUCACUCAGAGUGACUUUCUUCUCAGGCUGCUUGCCCUUCUCUGUCAUCUGACUUCCGUGGAGGUAAGGCCCUAACUAAACACUUAACUCAGGCACAGCCAAGGUGGUAUGUAAAGUAGACCAACCUUAGUUGUCAUGACAUUUUGUAGUUUUGUCUCUAAAGUCCUUGUUUCCAAAGUGUUUCUUCAUGCUUGA